rnacentral:rRNA from 1 species
UACGGGGGGGGGUAAGCGUUGUUCGGAAUUACUGGGCGUAAAGGGCUCGUAGGCGGCCAACUAAGUCGGACGUGAAAUCCCUCAGCUUAACUGGGGAACUGCGUCUGAUACUGGAUGGCUUGGAUUUGGGAGAGGGAUGCGGAAUUCCAGGUGUAGCGGUGAAAUGCGUAGAUAUCAUGAGGAAGACCAGUGGCGAAGGCGGGUCUCUGGACAGUUCCUGACACUGAGACACGAAGGCCAGGGGAGCAAACGGG